CACACACACACACACACACACACACACACACACACACACACACACACACACACACACACACACACACACAGACCACUACACUAAGUAGAGGCUUGUUGUAUAGCGACCAAAACAGAAUAAUUCAUAAUUCAUAGUCAACACUCCAUGGACUUAGAUCACAUUAGUUCCUUCUCCAUGUGGAAGCCAAACGGCCAAACUUCCUCCUAAUCAGCGGGUCCGGGGGGUCAAAUUAAAGAUGGAAAGAGGGAGAGAGAUGCAUCGGAAAACAAUUUACAGCCAAGAGACAGAGAGACAAGAGCGCAGUGGAGUGGAGUGCUGGCAGACUCUAGUUGGUAAGUAAGUGUUGAGGCUGGGUAGCGGAGCCGGAGCGGAGAGAGCAGACUCCUCAACGCAGCGCUUUUUUGUUCAUUCCCAGCAUGUCUCCGUCAGCCACUCCGCCGUGAUUUACGACUCUCCGGCCAGAAACUCCGCCGUCGCUGAUUGUCCUCCGCCGGCUCACUCGCGGCGAGCGUCUUUGAGAAGGGGAAGAUGGACGGCUCGUGAGGAGGUCUGGAGUGGCGGAGACGAGGCUGAGUGGAGGCUCGAGGAAACGAGCAGCCCUGACCUCGAGUGGCGUUUUCAUAGAUUAGCAUUCUAAUUCCCCGCCACUUGCCGCCUCCGGCACCGGCACCCGCACGCACCCUGGCCUCGGCUCGGACAGACUAUUUACUGGAUGACACCCGGCGCCUCCGCCAUAAACACGAGUGUCUGACCAAGGGAAUAAUGAGACAUGAUUGCACUUUAAGAGCGCUUACAUAGGACUUUAACUUUGUGACAACAUCUCAGAAGAUGGUUGUAAUCAUCGGGAUCCUUUUCGCUAUCCUACGUAGGUUUGGCAGUUUUUUAUUUUGUACUGUGCAGAAACACGAUAUAUGUAUCAAGGUACAAGUAUUAACAUAAUUGCACUGCUUACCUUUUAACCGUUUUGUUUUUAUCAUCAAAGGGAAAUCCCAUAGGGUGUUUGGUUGUGUGUAUGUGUGUGUGUGUGUGUGUGUGUGUGUGUGUGUGUGUGUGUGUGUGUGUGUGUAAUUGGAUGAGUGCGCACAAUAAUAUGAAGGAAUAAUGAGAGAUAGUCACGUACAUAUUUAGAGAGAAACAAAAUUAAUCGACUUUCUAACGCAACAAAGCAAUAUACCUUCCUUAUCCAUUAGGUGUGCUAAAACCAUGAAGUGCCCAAUACAAUGGAGAGGUUCUUGUGUCGUUGGAUGUGGUCCAACAACACAAGGACCCAAGAUGAGCAUCCAACGUGAAUCCCCCUGCCAUGUGGGCCGGAACGGGGAAAAGGAAAGCAUCACAGUGUGGAGUUGGACUGAGAGGAAAAGCAAGAAACAGGUCAAAGGAAGACAAGCACCAGCGUGUAAUCACAGACUCUGAGGCCUACCCGCGCACAUCCACCAGCCAAAGCCUUCUGGUCACACACAUUCACCCAUCAAUUCCGCCAUCCAUCCAUCUGCAGCACCUCCAUCCAGCUGUUCAUCUUUCCCUCUUCUCAGCCAACCCAUCCAUUAAUCGCCUUUGCCUGGGAUUCCUGGCCAGGACCACUGCCUGCUGGAGCCCAGACAUCCUGCAUAGGACGCCCAUCAAUGGCCGAAUAAUAUAACGCAUGGCAAUACAAUUGACCUCAUAUACAGCACACAAGAAAAUACACACUGGGAUUUCUCACUGGAACUCUUGAACCGAUGCACACAACGACCCAGGCUAUUAUACUGUGUAAUGCUGCAGGGAGAGUUACACUCUAACCGUAGUAAUUACUGUGAGUUUAAUAGGAAUCGCCAGACAAGGAUUCCCAGAGCAACCGCGACAGCUUCGGAGGAUGAAGACCACUUUUCGCCAGGCCUUUGGAGUUUAUCAGAAUGUCUGCUACUUUAAAUUGUUAUCCACUUUGGAUCACAUUCUUUUUCUGUAGUGACCUGUGAUAAGAAUUAAAUAUUGCAAUCUGUUAUUUAUGAGUUUUAACCAUUUAACUCGCAAUGCUAGUGUCCGGUCAUUGAAGGUUCCUAACAUCGAUCAACCAUUCGUAAACUACAACCCUUUCAAUAAAGCCUUGGGUUUAUUUAUGUUCUGUCUAGGGCUAAGGAGCAAGCCCUAUAUUUUUUGGUCUCUUUUAGAAGUCCUACACCGAGUGUAAAUCAUACUGAUAUACUAGUAUAGGCAUACCCUGUUUCUUUUUUGUGUCUAUCUACUUAAACUAUGCUAUAUUUUAUUGCCAUUUUUACCACAUUUUCAGCUUUUUGUUGUUGUGUCCUCAAUUAAAAACUUCAACAUGUUUUUUGGGCAAUCAAUCGAAUUGAUCGUAUUUAUUUGAUUCAAUUCGAUAGAAGUGCCUUAUAGCGUAAUUUGUUUGGCGCUUUAUCAAAUAUCGACACUUAUGAAAGCUAUAUUGUUAACACAUAGCCUCUUAUUGCAAUCACAAAGUUUUUGUUUUUUGCUUGAGUUCCAAAAUCUUGCAAUGUAUUUAAUAACCCUAUGUUUAAAAGUCACAAAACUUAACAAUUGACGAUUACAACGUAAAAAAAUGUAAUAUCUAAUAUGUAUAUAGAAAAUAAAAAAUGCAACGUAAA